rnacentral:rRNA from 1 species
GACAGAGGGGGCAAGCGUUGCUCGGAAUUACUGGGCGUAAAGGGCGCGUAGGCGGGAUGGCAAGUCGGUCGUGAAAUCCCUCGGCUCAACUGAGGAGCGUCGAUCGAAACUGCCGUUCUUGAGGGUUGCAGAGGAGACUGGAAUUCCCGGUGUAGCGGUGAAAUGUGUAGAGAUCGGGAGGAACACCGGUGGCGAAGGCAGCUCGCUGGGACGGUACUGACGCUGAGGCGCGAAAGCCAGGGGAGCAAACGGG